UUGGAAUUACUUGAUUAAAAUCGGCCUUCCCCACGGGACCGUAAGCAGCUUCACGAGGGCAACCGCUACGUCGGGCUUUGCCACACUGUGUCUCCUGGGCUUUCUCACAGUGCAUGGCAUAUGUUAGUGUAAACAGUUGAACAAAUGAAUGAAUGAAUGAGUGAAUGAGAAGUGAAGUAGAGGCAAUGAAGGAGGCUGGAGGAAGGAGGUGUCAGGGCAAGAAGAGGAAGCCUCACCCAAAUCAACAUUGCCCAUCCCAGGAGCCUCCCUUUGAAGACAAUGAAAUGGCAAAGCAAAACUGUUCUGGAACCAAGUGGCUGAUAACCCACGCUGGGGUUAUCCUGGCGAUUUUCAUCCACUUGGCUCCCCAAGUUGCUGCUCGACCGCUCUCUGACCUGGAUUCACUGAGGACACAUCAGGGCCUUUGCCACGGGGUCCAUGGAGUGGCCGGAGCCCGGGGCUGGGUGAGUGUGGGGUGGGUCUGAAGGGGAGGAUGUGCAUCUAGAGACCAGGCCAGCCCCUGCAGGAUUUUCUGAUGUCAAAUCGCCUGUCCUGUGCCUGAGCCCCAUCGCCUUAGCAGAAUGAGGACACGCGCCUCCCCUGGGCUUCCCCAGCGUGGCCUGAGUGAGUGUCUCCCCAGCUGCAGUGUUUGCAAUCAGCAGGUCAAGAGGGGACCCUCCUGCCCGGCUCCCAUGGCGCUGCUGCUCCUUCUAGCAGUCCCAGCUUAACCCCCACACUUCUUAUACUGGUCCCAGGGCCCUCUAUGGGUUAGGGUGUAGAAGGAGGUUGUGCUGGUUAAAAACACCAGGUGGAAAUCUCUUUUCUCUGAAUGCUGAUGGAGUGCUGUUAAAGAGACAGUUCUUUUCAGUCUAGUUGGAUCCUGGGUGAAGACUCAGGCCUUGCUCAAGAAGGGAGACCACCCAUAUGUGCUGUCCCAUGUUUCCAGGGAGGAGGCUGGAAGUCCAAGAUCAAGGUCCUGGUAGGUUUGGCUUCUGGUGAGGGCUCUCUCCAUGGCCAGGAGCUUCUUCCACUCCUGGGCACAGAUGGGCCCUGUUAGACUGUUGCCUUGCUCCCAAUGAAUCAUGCCCCCUCCCACUGCCUCUGGGGUUGUGUCUAUGAUGUCCUCUUCCUGGGGACAAAUGCAGCUUCAGCUGCUAUAGGCUGGGACUGUGGCCCUCCCUGCACCAGUCCCAGGGCCCAGCUUCCCCAGGCCACUAGCACUGCUCCAGGAACAGUGUCCAAGUCAGUCCCGACUGCUAAUAGAAUCCCACGGACUGAGUGGCUUCAGGAACAGGAAUUUAUUUCUCACAGUUCUGGAAGUCCAAGAUCAGGGUGCUGGCAGAUUUGGCUCCUGGUAAGGGUUCUCUUCAGGCUCGCAGACAGCUGCCUUCUUGCUGUAACCUCACAUGGUGGAGAGAAAACUCUGGUGUCUCUUCCUUUUCUUAUAACGGCACUAAUUCCAUCGUGGAUCCCCC
rnacentral:lncRNA from 1 species